rnacentral:rRNA from 1 species
GACGAACGCUGGCGGCACGCCUAAUACAUGCAAGUCAAGCGCGUGAAGCUUUCUGAAGCCUUCGGGCGGACGAAAGCUGAUCGAGCGGCGGACGGGUGAGUAACACGUAGGCAACCUGCCUGUAAGACCGGGAUAACUCCGGGAAACCGGGGCUAAUACCGGAUAAGAUCUUCUUCCGCAUGGAGGGAGAUUGAAAGGAUGGCCGCAAGGCGAUCGCUUACAGAUGGGCCUGCGGCGCAUUAGCUGGUUGGUGAGGUAACGGCUCACCAAGGCGACGAUGCGUAGCCGGCCUGAGAGGGUGACCGGCCACACUGGGACUGAGACACGGCCCAG